rnacentral:rRNA from 1 species
GAUGAACGCUGACAGAAUGCUUAACACAUGCAAGUCAACUGUGGCGGACGGGUGAGUAACGCGUAAAGAACUUGUCUCACAGAUAGGGACAACAUUUUGAAACGAAUGCUAAUACCUGAUACUGUGAGACAGCGUUGCGUCCCAUUAGCUAGUUGGAGAGGUACCGGCGCACCAAGGCGAUGAUGGGUAGCCGGCCUGAGAGGGUGAUCGGCCACAAGGUGACUGGGACACGGCCGUUAGUGCAGCGGGAGGAAGAAGUGGGGAAUAUUGGACAAUGGACCAAAGUCUGAUCCAGCAAUUCUGGGUGCACGAUGAAGUUUUCGGAAUGUAAAGUGCUAUCAGUUGGGAAGCGGUACCAACAGAAGAAGUAACGGCUAAAUACGUGCCAGCAGCCGCGGUAAUUC